rnacentral:lncRNA from 1 species
GUCAGCCCAUUAUUUCCCAGUCCUGACCUCCCUCUGCCAAACUCUGCCCAACCAACUCCCUCACUUUGGGGGGGUGUCCUUUUUUUUUUUUUUUUUUUUUUUCCUGUUGAUUGAGCCAAAGGCCAGGCUCAGAUCUAAGGGUGGGAAAGCCUUUAAACAAUUUGCAUUUGAAAAGAGGAAGUAGAAAAAAAAGAAAAGAAAAACACUGAGAGGCCCAGCCAGCUGUUUCCUACAAAGCUUUUGACAACUUCGCAGCUGUUCACUGUGCUUUUGCCCCAGUGGAAACCAGCUUGCACUCUAGCUGGGACUGCGGCUCUUCUGGUCUCCCUUGCCUCUCCUGACAGCUGUAAACUCACCACUUGUCAUUUCUCUUACAAGGGGUCCUGUAAAAUCUAUAAAGAGGAGCAGCACGAGAAGAGAAAAGCAUGUCACCAUUAUCUCCGUUAUCUCCGAGGAGCUGUCCCUUUGCAGAACCUAAACUGGGCCAGCAAACUGUUUCAACUCAUUCUGAUUCAAAAUGAGGAUCCGAUGGAGGGGGUAGAAGAGGAAAUGCAGGGAGAAGCCUAAGAAGAUUGUGAGGGGAUUGGGGGUGAAUGGUCCAAAAAGGAUGUUUAGCAGAAAUCAGGGACAGUUCUCUCUUCCACACAAGGGAAGAACGGUUAUUAAAUCAUCUUUUCCGGCAGCCUCCGUAAUUUGUUGUUGCUGUUAACAUAGUUCCCUAUCUCUUGGUUUAAUUUUUGCAAUAACAGAAUUUGUUUGUGAAUAUAUAGUGAGUUCAGUGCAGUGCUAACACAUUUUGAUAUCAUAAAAUUGUAGAUAUUUUAGAAAUCAGGAAAUUAGAAAUUUUUGC